GCAUAGGGAGAAGUUUCUUGGAAAAGAACAUCAGAGAGGGUGAGAGUCCCGUAUUUGCCCUGUGUCAUUUAGUUCCACGUACGGUACGCUUUUAUAGAGUCGCGUUCAUCGGGAUUUGAGCGCAAAAUGUGUGGUAAGUUUCACAUAAAGCUAAAUAAUGGCGCGAGACCGAUAGCAAACAAGUACCGUGAGGGAAAGAUGAAAAGCUCUUUGGAAAGAGAGUUAAAAGUGCCUGAAAUUGCUGAAAAGGAAGCGAUUGGAACCUUUUGGAAUCCAAUACGUGAAUCUCUCAUGACAUUGAGCCCCAGGUUAUUUAACCCUGUAAAAAGGGAAAAGGAUUUGGGUAAGGCAAUAGAUGAAAGGGGUGAGGAUCGUAUUGGAGAGGCCAGCAUCAGUUAAGACGAAAAGACUCCAGGUGUAGAAGGUAGGUCCCCCGUGGACUGUUUUACUAGAUACACCGUUGGAACUUUUCUUUUUAACUGAGGUGUACUAUAAUAGAGCAUGGAAUAUUCGGGCUACACUCGGUUCUUGUAAAAAGAUCGAGUACUCGAGUUCUGUGAUGCUGACUAAAAUGGUUUCAACCGACCCGUCUUGAAACACGGACCAAGGAGUCUAACAUAUGUGCAAGUAUGCGGGUGGCAAACCUGUAUGCGAAAUGAAAGUAAGAGUAGGGAAAAGGGUAAUAUCGUCAAAAAAUAUUAUGCUUUGCACCUACGACCGACCAUGAUCUCAGAG
rnacentral:rRNA from 1 species